CCUACGGGAGACAGCAGUGAGGAAUAUUGGUCAAUGGACGAGAGUCUGAACCAGCCAUGUCGCGUGCAGGAUGACUGCCCCAUGGGUUGUAAACUUCUUUUAUAUGGGAAUAAAAUGUUCCACGUGUGGGUUUUUAUAUGUACCAUAUGAAUAAGGAUCGGCUAACUCCGUGCCAGCAGCCGCGGUACUCCGGAGGAUGCGAGCGUUAUCCGGAUUUAUUGGGUUUAAAGGGUGCGCAGGCGGAAGAUCAAGUCAGCGGUAAAAUUGAAAGGCUCAACCUCUUCGAGCCUUUGAAACUGGUUUUCUUGAGUGAGCGAGAAGUAUGCGGAAUGCGUGGUGUAGCGGUGAAAUGCAUAGAUAUCACGCAGAACUCCGAUUGCGAAGGCAGCAUACCGGCGCUCAACUGACGCUCAUGCACGAAAGUGUGGGUAUCGAACAGGAUUAGAUACCCGUGUAGUC
rnacentral:rRNA from 1 species